GGUUUGGCACCUCGAUGUCGGCUCAUCACAUCCUGGGGCUGUAGUAGGUCCCAAGGGUUGGGCUGUUCGCCCAUUAAAGUGGUCCGCGAGCUGGGUUCAGAACGUCGUGAGACAGUUCGGUCCCUAUCCGUCGCAGGCGUAGGAAAUUUGAGAAGCCCUGUCCUUAGUACGAGAGGACCGGGAUGGACGUACCUCUGGUGUACCAGUUGUUCUGCCAAGGGCAUGGCUGGGUAGCUAUG
rnacentral:rRNA from 1 species